rnacentral:rRNA from 1 species
AUUGAACGCUGGCGGCAGGCCUAACACAUGCAAGUCGAGCGAGCGGCGGACGGGUGAGUAAUGUCUGGGAAACUGCCUGAUGGAGGGGGAUAACUACUGGAAACGGUAGCUAAUACCGCAUACCAUCAGAUGUGCCCAGAUGGGAUGAGCUAGUAGGUGGGGUAACGGAUCACCUAGGCGACGAUCCCUAGCGAGUCUGAGGGGAUGACCAGCCACACUGGAAGUGAGACACGUUCCAUACUCCCACGGGAGGCAGCAGUGGGGAAUAUUGCACAAUGGGCGCAAGCCGGAUGCAGCCAUGCCGCGUGUGCGCAGAAGGCCUUCGGUUUGUAAAGCACUUUCAGCGGGGAGGCGUUACCCGCCGAAGAAGCACCGGCUAACUCCGUGCCAGCAGCCGCGGUAAUUC